UUCAGCCACAGAGAUUCAGUUCAAAGAUGAGUUUUACAGAAGAAGGAUCAUUUUACGAGGAAACGCACGAAGCAAGUUCUAAGGAGGAAAAAUUGAUGGAAGCUUCGUUUGAUGAUGAAAGAUAUAUCGUUCGAAGAAUAUCGUUCGAAGAAUCGUUUGAAACGUUCGGAGCAAUUCCGAGCGUGGAAGAGCCGAUCGAAGCAUCGUUCUUUGAAGGAAAUUUUGCCAAUCCAAAGGAGAAUAAAAGUAAACUGGAAAGACUACUCAACGAGGUGUCGAUAAAUUUCCGACCUUUCGUGGUGAUAGGAGAAAUUAAAGAGGGAUUCGCAAAAAAGCUUAAUCAGCAAGGUAUCCCUGUGAAGGAAUUUGAUGACUUUAAUCUUGGUAUAAUGGGAGUUCUUAACGGUCUCGAUAAAGGUGAUUAUAUUAUUGUUUUGUGUUGUGGGUCACCACGUUUAUUUAUGUAGUAAAGCUUCUGUUCGACCAACAAACACAGUUCAGUUUAAUCGAGUCCCCACUCGACAAUCUGGCGUCCGUGUUGACAAGACGUUGCUUGCUAUAGUUUCCUGUAGUAUCAGACUAAACCGUCAAACUGACUCAAAUAAGGAUGUGAGUUAAUGACUCUCGGCUAGCAUUUUACCACCAACGCUCAUUGACUCUCAUGCACACUCUCAUCAAUUUCGAACCAGUUCAUAUUUUGACGAGAGUUGACGAGAACUGGUAAUAUCCGGUAAUAUCCAGUCAACUCUUGUUCUCGUUUGACCGUGGUAUAAGUAUCACACACGACCCCAUCGUGUUUAAAUAAAUAUUAUGAAUGAAUGAAUUCAAAUGCCCCCCUCAUUAUCACUUUGAAUUGUGUUGUGUUUUGCUUUUCAACCACUCACAUCAUAAGUUUACAUCAUGAUGACACUAUUGUUUUUUUUUAUAUUUCUUGAAAUAAAGGAUUUGCUAUACUUAAAGUGAUGUAUUUUAAUUCAAAUUAUAUAGGUGACCCAGUUGGGAAGUUCCUUCGCCAAGCGUAUAUUGGAUGCUUUCAAUGUUCCUUGUGUCUGCAGAGCGAUCGCGAGCUCAAAACGACAAGCGAGUUGUUGGGACACCAUCUAUCAAACGCAAUGAGCGUACUCAGAUAUGUGCUAUCAAAACAAGGCAUCUCGAUACCCGAUGGCAGUUCGGAGAAAAUGGAUUAUGAUGAAUGCAAAUUGAAUCAUCUGACUCAUCUUACAGACUCGUACUUGCAGCAGACAUGCAGGUCAAAAGAAGAAUGCAAGUUUUUGCGAAGACACUCGCGGUUAAUUAAGGAUUUCGAAGUCGUCAGUGAGAUAGACUUUGCUUUGAAGCAUCUUCGAGAUGAAUUUGAAGAGCUUCGAAGGCACCCAAAUGAAGUUAGCCGUCGCUUGAAUAACUUUACGCUGUUUAGCGAAUUGGAGGAGACGACUGAUUUGUCCUCGCGCUGCUGUUAGUUGAAGUGGGACGUAAAGGACUCUGUAUAUAUAUUGUAUAAAAUCUGAAAUGUAGGUUUUCAUUGUAGGUCGCUAUAAAGCUCGAGAAAUUUCAGGAUUACACUACUUGAAAAGUUUAACAAGAAAUCUUUAACCACAAAAAUACAGUAUUAUAGUUGCAUCACAUCAUACGAAUAUUUUCAACACAUCCGCAUCAAAUCUAUUUCAGAACUAUAUUCUCUGAAGAUGAAACUAUAUUCAGCUCGUACUUUUAAACUACCAGAAUUUAUAUUAAUAAUAACUCUAAGAUUAAAGUAUAAUAUAGACAGAUCUAACCAAAAGUCCUUAUAAUAUAUAUAGCCAAUCUUUAGACUUUAUUAAUUAUAAUCCCUUCUAUAUGUAUAUGUAUAUAUCAAAUUCUUUAAUUCUUCAACACUGUAAUAUAUUUGUAUAUAUUGUAAGAUAUUGUAUCACAAUAAUCAUUCAUGAACAUUAAGCCUACGAAGGUAUAUGUUAAUAAAAUACUAUUUGACAAAUACUUAAUAUACUUAUCAAGUGUAUGUUGCCCUCUUUACUGAAAUAUUGCUAUUCGUCUGAAAACCGUGGUUUACAGAUCACCAAGCCCCAAAGAUUCGGCUGCUUUUUAUUGAUACAAAUGGACAAUUGCAACAUGACAUGCUUUAGAAGAAUAAGAUGGUAUCUAUUCCCUUAGAUUCCUUUUCUUAGAAAUGGGGCAAAGCGGAAAUACAGUCUAGAUGGGCAAGAAAUUCAAAUAUUUGAUUAAUAGAUAGAUAGAUAGAUAGAU
rnacentral:lncRNA from 1 species